CUACAGUGUUUUUUUGCUUAGUCUCAGCUGGAUUUCUGUGCGGCUCAGAGCAGACGGUUCAGUGCUCUUCCAUUCCCUUACCCCAGGAUUUACUAUUCCCCAGCAGCACCUCCAACGAGUCCCCAAAAUAACAAUCAAAAGAACAAGUUGAGUCUACUUUGAGAGUUGUUGCUGUCUUCUAUUUUCCUAUUUUGAGGUGGCCUGUGCAUGGAGUUCUGAGGUCCGUAUCCCAUAGUGCUGCAGAAGGGUUCUCGUGGCUCCUCUCAUAGCCUGUGCAGUCUGCAGACGAUGGAUUGAUUUGAGCUUGCCUUCCUUCAGCUGGCUGACAAGGCCGUUCAGCUCUGAGUCCGUGGGAUCUGCCAGGUUAUGGCAUUGUCUUGAGGAAGAGCUGCUGCCAGUUUCUUGUUACCUCUCUGUUUUCCCUGCUGCAAGCUAACUAGAAGCCUGAUCUUCAAGAGAAGGUGUCCCUGAGCCCUCUGAGGAGCACCCACUGCCCCACAGCCGCCCCGCCGGCACAGCACUGCAUUGCACUGCACAGCACUGCA
rnacentral:lncRNA from 1 species